AGUGAACGCUGGCGGUAGGCCUAACACAUGCAAGUCGAACGGCAGCACAGUAAGAGCUUGCUCUUACGGGUGGCGAGUGGCGGACGGGUGAGGAAUACAUCGGAAUCUACUUUUUCGUGGGGGAUAACGUAGGGAAACUUACGCUAAUACAGCAUACGACCUACGGGUGAAAGCAGGGGAUCUUCGGACCUUGCGCGAUUGAAUGAGCCGAUGUCGGAUUAGCUAGUUGGCGGGGUAAAGGCCCACCAAGGCGACGAUCCGUAGCUGGUCUGAGAGGAUGAUCACCCACCCUGGAACUGAGCCACGGUCCAUACUCCUACGGGAGGCCGCAGUGGGGAAUAUUGGACAAUGGGCGCAAGCCUGAUCCAGCCAUACCGCGUGGGUGAAGAAGGCCUUCGGGUUGUAAAGCCCUUUUGUUGGGAAAGAAAAGCAGCAGGUUAAUACCCCGCUGUUCUGACGGUACCCAAAGAAUAAGCACCGGCUAACUUCGUG
rnacentral:rRNA from 1 species